rnacentral:rRNA from 1 species
UUUAUGGAGAGUUUGAUCCUGGCUCAGGAUGAACGCUGGCGGCGUGCCUAAUACAUGCAAGUCGAGCGAACGGACGAGAAGCUUGCUUCUCUGAUGUUAGCGGCGGACGGGUGAGUAACACGUGGAUAACCUACCUAUAAGACUGGGAUAACUUCGGGAAACCGGAGCUAAUACCGGAUAAUAUUUUGAACCGCAUGGUUCAAAAGUGAAAGACGGUCUUGCUGUCACUUAUAGAUGGAUCCGCGCUGCAUUAGCUAGUUGGUAAGGUAACGGCUUACCAAGGCAACGAUGCAUAGCCGACCUGAGAGGGUGAUCGGCCACACUGGAACUGAGACACGGUCCAGACUCCUACGGGAGGCAGCAGUAGGGAAUCUUCCGCAAUGGGCGAAAGCCUGACGGAGCAACGCCGCGUGAGUGAUGAAGGUCUUCGGAUCGUAAAACUCUGUUAUUAGGGAAGAACAUAUGUGUAAGUAACUGUGCACAUCUUGACGGUACCUAAUCAGAAAGCCACGGCUAACUACGUGCCAGCAGCCGCGGUAAUACGUAGGUGGCAAGCGUUAUCCGGAAUUAUUGGGCGUAAAGCGCGCGUAGGCGGUUUUUUAAGUCUGAUGUGAAAGCCCACGGCUCAACCGUGGAGGGUCAUUGGAAACUGGAAAACUUGAGUGCAGAAGAGGAAAGUGGAAUUCCAUGUGUAGCGGUGAAAUGCGCAGAGAUAUGGAGGAACACCAGUGGCGAAGGCGACUUUCUGGUCUGUAACUGACGCUGAUGUGCGAAAGCGUGGGGAUCAAACAGGAUUAGAUACCCUGGUAGUCUACGCCGUAAACGAUGAGUGCUAAGUGUUAGGGGGUUUCCGCCCCUUAGUGCUGCAGCUAACGCAUUAAGCACUCCGCCUGGGGAGUACGACCGCAAGGUUGAAACUCAAAGGAAUUGACGGGGACCCGCACAAGCGGUGGAGCAUGUGGUUUAAUUCGAAGCAACGCGAAGAACCUUACCAAAUCUUGACAUCCUUUGACAACUCUAGAGAUAGAGCUUUCCCCUUCGGGGGACAAAGUGACAGGUGGUGCAUGGUUGUCGUCAGCUCGUGUCGUGAGAUGUUGGGUUAAGUCCCGCAACGAGCGCAACCCUUAAGCUUAGUUGCCAUCAUUAAGUUGGGCACUCUAAGUUGACUGCCGGUGACAAACCGGAGGAAGGUGGGGAUGACGUCAAAUCAUCAUGCCCCUUAUGAUUUGGGCUACACACGUGCUACAAUGGACAAUACAAAGGGCAGCGAAACCGCGAGGUCAAGCAAAUCCCAUAAAGUUGUUCUCAGUUCGGAUUGUAGUCUGCAACUCGACUACAUGAAGCUGGAAUCGCUAGUAAUCGUAGAUCAGCAUGCUACGGUGAAUACGUUCCCGGGUCUUGUACACACCGCCCGUCACACCACGAGAGUUUGUAACACCCGAAGCCGGUGGAGUAACCUUUUAGGAGCUAGCCGUCGAAGGUGGGACAAAUGAUUGGGGUGAAGUCGUAACAAGGUAGCCGUAUCGGAAGGUGCGGCUGGAUCACCUCCUUU